rnacentral:rRNA from 1 species
GAUGAACGCUGGCGGCGUGCCUAAUACAUGCAAGUCGAGCGAACAGACGAGGAGCUUGCUCCUUUGACGUUAGCGGCGGACGGGUGAGUAACACGUGGGUAACCUACCUAUAAGACUGGGAUAACUUCGGGAAACCGGAGCUAAUACCGGAUAAUAUUUCGAACCGCAUGGUUCGAUAGUGAAAGAUGGCUUUGCUAUCACUUAUAGAUGGACCUGCGCCGUAUUAGCUAGUUGGUAAGGUAACGGCUUACCAAGGCAACGAUACGUAGCCGACCUGAGAGGGUGAUCGGCCACACUGGAACUGAGACACGGUCCAGACUCCUACGGGAGGCAGCAGUAGGGAAUCUUCCGCAAUGGGCGAAAGCCUGACGGAGCAACGCCGCGUGAGUGAUGAAGGUCUUCGGAUCGUAAAACUCUGUUAUUAGGGAAGAACAAACGUGUAAGUAACUGUGCACGUCUUGACGGUACCUAAUCAGAAAGCCACGGCUAACUACGUGCCAGCAGCCGCGGUAAUACGUAGGUGGCAAGCGUUAUCCGGAAUUAUUGGGCGUAAAGCGCGCGUAGGCGGUUUUUUAAGUCUGGUGUGAAAGCCCACGACUCAACCGUGGAGGGUCAUUGGAAACUGGAAAACUUGAGUGCAGAAGAGGAAAGUGGAAUUCCAUGUGUAGCGGUGAAAUGCGCAGAGAUAUGGAGGAACACCAGUGGCGAAGGCGACUUUCUGGUCUGUAACUGACGCUGAUGUGCGAAAGCGUGGGGAUCAAACAGGAUUAGAUACCCUGGUAGUCCACGCCGUAAACGAUGAGUGCUAAGUGUUAGGGGGUUUCCGCCCCUUAGUGCUGCAGCUAACGCAUUAAGCACUCCGCCUGGGGAGUGCGACCGCAAGGUUGAAACUCAAAGGAAUUGACGGGGACCCGCACAAGCGGUGGAGCAUGUGGUUUAAUUCGAAGCAACGCGAAGAACCUUACCAAAUCUUGACAUCCUUUGACCCUUCUAGAGAUAGAAGUUUCCCCUUCGGGGGACAAAGUGACAGGUGGUGCAUGGUUGUCGUCAGCUCGUGUCGUGGGAUGUUGGGUUAAGUCCCGCAACGAGCGCAACCCUUAAGCUUAGUUGCCAUCAUUAAGUUGGGCACUCUAAGUUGACUGCCGGUGACAAACCGGAGGAAGGUGGGGAUGACGUCAAAUCAUCAUGCCCCUUAUGAUUUGGGCUACACACGUGCUACAAUGGACAAUACAAAGGGCAGCGAAACCGCGAGGUCAAGCAAAUCCCAUAAAGUUGUUCUCAGUUCGGAUUGUAGUCUGCAACUCGACUACAUGAAGCUGGAAUCGCUAGUAAUCGUAGAUCAGCAUGCUACGGUGAAUACGUUCCCGGGUCU